UGGCAGGUUGCUCAAUGACGCCUAGCCGCACAAAUCAGGCCCCAAGCUGGGCCGGGCUUGAGGGAGGCCCCAAGGCCCCUACAGAAGAGGAGGAGCAGGAGGCAGCCAGUAGUUGCCUAGAGAAAAAAAUAAGCACCAGCCUGUAAAUUGCAAUGUAUAUCAGCAUGAAGCCUUGCUAGCUCUGCUCCCCCCUUGCCAACCACUGCCACGCAGAAACUCCCUGCAUCCUUUCCAGACUUCCCCAGGCUGCUGCCUUAUUUUCAGAUGCCUCUUCCUGCAGUGCCAGAACCGACAGCUAUGAAUGAGAAACAUAGGCUGGAGCUGGAUAAGGAAGGCAUCCCAUAAUGGAGACUGAGUAGAUGUGCAUGAGGACCCAGAGACUUGCACUGAUUUUCACUCAACUGAUGGAAGGAAAUAAUUUACCUUUCGAACCCUAGAACCAGCUUGACUGUUCUAUGGAUCUUGAUGAAGAAAACAAGGAAAGCUGGUAUGUCCUGGAAUGAAACUUGGACCUAACAGGCACAAACAGGGACCCAGACCUUUGCAAUUGAUUGGGUUCUCUAUUGGAUGAGUUAUGUGCUUCCAGACCUAAUCAGAACCACCUGGACUUCCUCAAGGCUCAUCACUGUCCACGCCGCAUGAAGCAUUUGAACUUGACCUGCAUUGAAAUUGAGCCAGGGUACAUAAAAUGAAAGCCCAGCAUCCACUUACAGGAAUAAAUGUACAUCUGCAGAGAGGACUUGGAGUUCUGCAAAAAACACUCAGAGCUUGGUGCUUCUCUUCUUCACUUGGAAUUCUAGCAACUACCACCCAUGAACAUUAAUCUACUCCUUUAAAAACCUCACCCCUUCCAGGAACUUGGGGUGUACUUUUUAUAAGGUGCAUGUGAAACCUGUCUAGAAUGGGGCAAAGGAUGGUGAUAUGUUAUAAAUUCAGCCGGGCUGUCUUCUUGGGCCUCCAAACUGCUUUAGGAAGCCCUGGGCUUUUGUCCAUUUAUCAUUUCUUAUUUAUUUACUUAUUUUAGAGACAGGGUCUUGCUCUGUUGCCCUGGGCUGGAGUGCAGUGGUGUGAUCUUAGCUCACUGCAGGCUCAAACUCCUGGGCUCAAGCAGUCCUCCCAGCUCAGCCUCCUGAGCAGCUGGGGCUACAGGAGUGCAUCAGCAUGCCUGGCUAAUUUUUGUAUUUUUUGUAGAGAUGGCAUCUUGCUAUGUUGCCCAGGCUGGUCUCCAACUCAAGCAAUCUUCCUGCCUUGGCCUCCCAAAGCACUGGAAUUUCAGUUAUGAGCCACCAUGCCCAACCUAUUUAUCAUUUCUUUUAGGAGAGGAAUGUUAAAAAAAAAAUGUAUCCCGGCACUGUUAGGGUGUGUGUGUAUAUGUAUGGGUGUCUGUGUAUGUGUGUGGGUGCAUAUCAGUGUCAGCGUGUGUGGGUGCUGGCAUUGAGAUGUGUUCUUGUGUUUGUGUUGGUGUCUGUGUGUACAAUGUAGUUCCAAUGCCAGGCCACUGGGACUUCUCCUCCUCACUGGCCCUUCUGCUGGAAGCCCCUACAUACUUGGGGUCGAGUGGAAUGUUAAAUUGUGGUACCAAGUCUGCUUUGUAUUGAUCACCUUUUUUUUUUUUUUGAGAUGGAGUCUCACUCUGUUGCCCAGGCUGGAGUGCAGUGGCGUGAUCUUGGCUCAUGCAACCUCUGCCUCCCAGGUUCAAGUGACUCUCCUGCCUCAGCCUCCUGAGAGUAGCUGGUACUGCAGGUGCCCGCCACCACACCUGUCUAAUUUUUUUGUAUUUUUAGUAGAGAUGGGGUUUCAACAUGUUGGCCAGGCUGGUCUCGAACUCCUGACCUCAGGUGAUCUGCGUACCUCAGCCUCCCAAAGUGCUGGGAUUACAGGUGUGAACCACCCCGCCUGGCCUGUAUUGAUCACUCUUUUUCUUGAUUGUCCCUUCAUCACUUCCACUUGUCUGUCAGCACCAUGAGGACGGCUGCCUUGUAUAAUAUGAGCUCUGUGUCUCCCUCCCCACUGCCAUUGCCCUCAGUACAGUGCCUUGCACAUGCCUUAAAUUCAAGAAACUUGUACAGGGUGGUUAAGAAAAAAGAGGAAUGAAUUAAACCAAUUGGACUUCAGAGUGUGGCAGAGCAUGGCCUGGUGGGGCUCCCUGGGGAAAGGCACGUGACUCUAAAGUGGAGAGAGUUGGGCAGCACUCCAGGACCUUUCCUGUCCCUGCCUGGGAGCCUCUCCCCCACCCCCUAUUGGCACUAUUGGGUUGACGUCCUCUUCCAUUAAACUAGCUUUGCUUUUCCAUUGCUAAAGGAAAAUGAUGCACUCAUUCCAGUAUAUUUGGAUGUUUUAAAGGUUGGUCUGGCUUCACAGACGAUGUCCAUCAGUGGCUGACAUACCAAUGAAAUUGAAGAAAAGCUGGUUUUCCAGUAUUUCUUUGGCAGAGAAUCUAGCGGCUGACACUGGAUCAGAAUUAGGGCUCAUAAAACUUAGAGCCAGGACCUUGAAUCCUGAGUGCUCACUUAUAAGAUGCUUUCAAGUCCUUAUCUUGCAGAACAGUUAAAUGUCUGCAUCUGGCUCACUCCCCUUGGGAUCACUUUUUAGAAUGAUCCCUGCUGGUGCAAAGUGUGGAGAGCUGAACUGGCCAGCAAACCUGGGAUGUUUUCUUCUGAAUAAGUGGUUCAUUUGAAUCUUUUAUGUGAAGUUAAUUCUGCAAUAUUUCUUGCUGCAGGACUUGAAAAACCAUAGUCAGAAGGCAGAGAUACAAACCAAAACACCACCAACAUCAAAACAAAACCCAACCAGACAAUAAAACAACAAAAAAGCCCAAACACAAAACCUUCUAUUUAGCAUAGGUCUGCAAAGAAAGGAUUUCUGGGAACCUCACAUAUAGACUCUGAUAGGGAAGGUAAUGGAAGAGGUGGAUUAUGUCCUAACUUGGUCAACAAGUUCUGCUGAGGCUAGGCUGAAAUACUGGUGGAUGGGGGUGCACACACUUUGCAGUCAUCAGGGCAGGGUUUUAUCUUGUUCUUUCUCACUAUUUUUUUGUUUGUUUGAGACUGAGUCUUGCUCUGUCAUCAGGCUGGAGUGCAGUGGCACGAUCUCGGCUCACUGCAACCUCCACCUCCCAGGUUCAAGUGAUUCUCCUGCUUCAGCCUCCCGAGUAGCUGGGACUACAGGUGCGCACCACCACAUCCAGCUAAUUUUUGUAUUUUUAGUAGAGACGGGGUUUCACCAUGUUGGCCAGGAUAAUCUUGAUCUCUCGACCUUGUGAUCUACCUGCCUUGGCCUCCCAAAAUGCUGGGAUUACAGGCAUUUAGCUACCACGCCCGGCCUCUUUCUCACAUUUAGUGACAUCUUGAGAAGUGCCAUAAUAUUGCAGUUGACUUAAAAUUCUGCUUCUUUGCGUCAAAGGACACAAUCAACACAGUGAAAAGGCAACCCACAGCAUGGGAGAAAAUAUUUGAAAAUCAUACAUUUCAUAAGGGAUUAAUACCCAGACUAUAUAAAGAACUCCUACAAUUCUACAACAACAAAAACCAAAUUGCCUAAUUAAAAAAUUCACAAAGGACCUGAAUAGACAGUUCUCUAAAGAAGGUAUACAAAUGGCAGAUAAACAAGUAAAAGAUGUUCAACAUUAGUAAUCAGUAGAGAAAUGCAAAUCAAAACCACAAUGGAAUAUUACUUCCUGCCCAUUUGAAUGGCUACUAUCAAAAACAGAAAUUAGCUGGAUGUGGUGGCAUGUGCCUAUAAUCCCAGCUAUUAAGCAGGCUGAGGGAGGAGGAUCACUUGAGCCCAGAAAUUCGAGGCCAGUCUGGGCAACAUAGCGAGACCCAAUCUCUUAAAUAAACAACAGAAAAUAACAAGUGUUGGCAAGAAUGUGGAGAAAUUGAUUGGAACCUUUGUGCAAUGUUGGUGGGAAUGUAAAAUGCUGCAGCUACUGUGGAAAACGGUAUAGCAGUUUCUCAAAAUCUUCAAAAUAGAAUUACCAUAAGAUCUAGCAAUUCCACUUCUGAGUGUAUACCUAAAAUAACUGAAAUCAGGGACUCAAAGAGAUAUUUGUGCAUCUAUGUUCAUAGCAGCAUUAAUCAUAAUAGCCAAAAGGUAGGCGAGUGGAAAACCAAAAUGUGCUGUAUACGUACUACACAAUAGCAUUUGCUUUUUCUAAGAAUGAAGGAAAUUCUGACAUGCUACAAUGUGGAUGCACCUUGAGGACGUGAUGUUAAGUGAAAUAAGCCAGUCUCAAAAAGACAAAUACUAUAUAAUUCCACUUACGUGAGGUAUCUGCAGUAGUCAAAGUCAAAGAGACAGAAAAUAGGUUGAAGGUUGCCAGGGGCUGGGGGAAGGAGAAAUGAGGAGUUAUUGUUUAAUGGGUAGAGGGUGUCGGUUUUGCAAGAAUUCUGUGGAGGGAUGGUGGUGAUGGUUGCACAAUAACAUGAAUGUACUUAAUGCCACAGAACCGUACACUUAAAGUGGCUAAGAUGGUAAAUUUUCUGUUAUGUGUAUUUUACCACAAUUAAAAAUUAAAAAUAAUUUAAAAA